rnacentral:rRNA from 1 species
UACGUAGGGUGCAAGCGUUUGUCCGGAAUUAUUGGGCGUAAAGAGCUCGUAGGCGGUUUGUCGCGUCUGCUGUGAAAAUCCAGGGCUUAACCCUGGACCUGCAGUGGGUACGGGCAGACUAGAGUGCGGUAGGGGAGACUGGAAUUCCUGGUGUAGCGGUGAAAUGCGCAGAUAUCAGGAGGAACACCGGUGGCGAAGGCGGGUCUCUGGGCCGAUACUGACGCUGGAGGAGCGAAAGCCGUGGGGAGCGAACAGG